GCGUCCGAUUAGCUAGUUGGCGGGGCAACGGCCCACCUAGGCGACGAUCGGUAGCCGGCCUGAGAGGGUGAUCGGCCACAUUGGGACUGAGAUACGGCCCAGACUCCUACGGGAGGCAGCAGUAGGGAAUAUUGCACAAUGGGGGAAACCCUGAUGCAGCAACGCCACGUGUGGGAAGAAGCAUUUCGGUGUGUAAACCACUGUCGUGAGGGAAUAAUACGCGUCUUCGGGCGCGGGAGGAUGUACCUUGAAAGGAAGCACCGGCAAACUUCGUGCCAGCAGCCGCGGUAAUACGAGGGGUGCAAGCGUUGUUCGGAAUCACUGGGCGUAAAGGGAGCGUAGGCGGGAAUGCAAGCAAUCUGUACAAUCCCGGGGCCCAACCCCGGACCUGCAGAUUGGACUGUGUUCCUUGGA
rnacentral:rRNA from 1 species